GCGAGCGUGGCGGAAUUGGCAGACGCGCCAGGUUUAGGUCCUGGUGUCCAUUAGGACGUGAAGGUUCGACUCCUUUCGCUCGCA
rfam:Phycisphaerae bacterium SG8_4 WOR_8-12_23672, whole genome shotgun sequence.